rnacentral:rRNA from 1 species
GUGGGGAAUAUUGCACAAUGGGCGAAAGCCUGAUGCAGCGACGCCGCGUGAGGGAUGAAGGCCUUCGGGUUGUAAACCUCUUUCGCCAGGGAAGAAGCGAGAGUGACGGUACCUGGAGAAGAAGCACCGGCUAACUACGUGCCAGCAGCCGCGGUAAUACGUAGGGUGCGAGCGUUGUCCGGAAUUAUUGGGCGUAAAGAGCUUGUAGGCGGUUUGUCGCGUCUGCUGUGAAAAUUCGGGGCUUAACUCCGGACGUGCAGUGGGUACGGGCAGGCUAGAGUGUGGUAGGGGAGACUGGAAUUCCUGGUGUAGCGGUGAAAUGCGCAGAUAUCAGGAGGAACACCGAUGGCGAAGGCAGGUCUCUGGGCCAUAACUGACGCUGAGAAGCGAAAGCAUGGGGAGCGAACAGGAUUAGAUACCCUAGUAGUCC